UUUGCCUACGGGACGCAGCAGUGGGGAAUAUUGCACAAUGGGGGAAACCCUGAUGCAGCGACGCCGCGUGAGCGAAGAAGUAUUUCGGUAUGUAAAGCUCUAUCAGCAGGGAAGAAAAUGACGGUACCUGAGUAAGAAGCUCCGGCUAAAUACGUGCCAGCAGCCGCGGUAAUACGUAUGGAGCAAGCGUUAUCCGGAUUUAUUGGGUGUAAAGGGUGCGUAGACGGGACAGCAAGUUAGUUGUGAAAGCCCUCGGCUUAACUGAGGAACUGCAACUAAAACUAUUGUUCUUGAGUGCAGGAGAG
rnacentral:rRNA from 1 species